UCUCCGUUGGUGAACCAGCGGAGGGAUCAUUACCGAGUUUACAACUCCCAAACCCAAUGUGAACCAUACCAAACUGUUGCCUCGGCGGGGUCACGCCCCGGGUGCGUCGCAGCCCCGGAACCAGGCGCCCGCCGGAGGGACCAACCAAACUCUUUCUGUAGUCCCCUCGCGGACGUUAUUUUUACAGCUCUGAGCAAAAAUUCAAAAUGAAUCAAAACUUUCAACAACGGAUCUCUUGGUUCUGGCAUCGAUGAGAACGCAGC
rnacentral:misc_RNA from 1 species